UACAGAGGGUGCAAGCGUUAAUCGGAAUUACUGGGCGUAAAGCGUGCGCAGGCGGCUUUGCAAGACAGAUGUGAAAUCCCCGGGCUCAACCUGGGAACUGCAUUUGUGACUGCAAGGCUAGAGUACGGCAGAGGGGGAUGGAAUUCCGCGUGUAGCAGUGAAAUGCGUAGAUAUGCGGAGGAACACCGAUGGCGAAGGCAAUCCCCUGGACCUGUACUGACGCUCAUGCACGAAAGCGUGGGGAGCAAACAGG
rnacentral:rRNA from 1 species